rnacentral:rRNA from 1 species
AAAGUUGGUUUUCUUCGGACACUCUUCAAGGUGCUGCAUGGUUGUCGUCAGCUCGUGCCGUGAGGUGUCGGGUUAAGUCCCAUAACGAGCGCAACCCUUACUGUUAGUUGCCAGCGGGUAAUGCCGGGAACUCUAGCGGGACUGCCACCGUAAGGUGAGAGGAAGGUGGGAUGACGUCAAAUCAGCACGGCCCUUAUGUCCAGGGCUACACACGUGUUACAAUGGCCGGUACAAAGGGCAGCUACACCGCGAGGUGAUGCUAAUCUCGAAAGCCGGUCUCAGUUCGGAUCGAAGUCUGCAACCCGACUUCGUGAAGUUGGAUUCGCUAGUAAUCGCGCAUCAGCCAUGGCGCGGUGAAUACGUUCCCGGGCCUU